GGGUGUAUAGCUCAAGGGGUAGAGCGCAUGUUUAGCAUGAUAAGGUCCUGGGUUCAAUUCCCAGUACUUCCU
rnacentral:tRNA from 1 species